rnacentral:rRNA from 1 species
UACGGAGGGUGCAAGCGUUAAUCGGAAUUACUGGGCGUAAAGCGUGCGUAGACGGUUAUGUAAGUCAGGUGUGAAAGCCCCGGGCUCAACCUGGGAAUUGCAUUUGAGACUGCAUAGCUAGGGUGCGGAAGAGGGAAGCGGAAUUUCCGGUGUAGCGGUGAAAUGCGUAGAUAUCGGAAGGAACACCAGUGGCGAAAGCGGCUUCCUGGUCCAGCACCGAGUCAGGCACGAAAGCGUGGGGAGCAAACAGG